ACAGGCACUACUAGGAGACACUGUGUUCACACAGGGCUGUUUAGGGCUGGGGAAGGGCAGCUCUUUUUGAUUAUUAGUCUGGGGAGGCCAGGCCAGGAAGUCAGGCUCACUUCACCCUGACCACGCCACCGGAGUCCUCAUGUAGCUCCCAAGUCUGUGCCAACGCUUCCUGCCACUCACAGCACCAAAUGCGAUGAUCUUUACUAAAAAGCACUUAUUUCCGUUGGCUUUCUUAUUCAUUUAGGCUUUUCUUUUCCUGGGGGGCAGUGGCGGGUGGAAUAGCCAGUUUAUCCUGACUUCCACAUUGUGAAUAUUCCACCAGGACUGUUUAUAAAGUUGAGUUUGGGGGGAUCUUCAUCUUUCUCCUGGCAUUCAAUGCAUUUUCUGUCUCCUUUAGAACUGUUGCCACAUGCUGGCAAAAAGAUAAGGAAACUGAAUUUGUAAUCCAAACCUCGUUAAAUUGCUGCACACACAUUUUCCCUUCUACUUCUUGCUGUCUGUUUCUAAAUGCCAUGCUAUCUGUUUGUACUCAGUCACCUGAAAUCCUUAUUUGGGUUCUCCAACAGGCACGAAGGCAUCCAAAUAUCAAUUUUAGUAAUGGGUGGAAAUGCCCACAUGAGGAGUGGGAUGUUCAGUCUUAACAUGUGGUCUCUAUGAAUAAGGGUCUUCAUUUUUUCUUUUCCUAAACGGUCCAGCUCCUCUACGCUGGUUUUGCUCCUCAACAGUCCAAGGUUUGUGCUACUUCCAUGGUGAUCAUCUGUUAGGUCAUAAACAUUAGAUUGUGGCAUCACUGAAUGAGUCAGUUGGGAGGAAGCUGGGCUGGAAAUACAGCUGAGAGCCUCUGUUGACAGAUGGAUGCCUUCUUAAUCACAGCCUGUGACACCCACAUGACUAGGAGGAGGCAGAAAGUGAAUAGGGAGCUCUUAUUACUUUUUGAGUGUCAGCAAGUUAAGACAUCAUCUCCAGAAAACUGUGCUAGUUGGCAUCCAGCAGUGCCCAAGUAUUAUUUAACCCACUAGAACCUGUGACUGCAUCAGCUUUAUAUCCUGGACCUCAGCCUGGAACAAAGGAGAGCUACACUUGGAUACUAAACACAAGUGGUCUGGAUAGAUUAUGCUGGGAAAAGAAGCCUGGAGCAGGCAGUACAGUGGGAGAACAAGUGAAAUCACUCCUUAUACUUGGGGGAAAAUGACAAGAAACGACAGCCACGGAAUCUUCCUCUGGAUAUGAGAACAAAAAUAGCUGUCAGAAUAAAUAGUGGCCACACCCAUGUCACUUCUUCAUGAGGUGACUUGGUGACUUCACAAGAUAGGCCCCACCCCACCCAUAUGAAAUGAGCACCAUCUGGGCUGACCUCCUCUUUCGGGGUCUGUAAUUACUGUACAAAGAUGCAGGUGCGUCUAUGAAAGCGAACUUUGUCGAGAUCUCAGUGACACACUCUGCUUUUCCAAAUUGCCUCAAUUGGCAGUGAAUAUUAGAAAGAGUCAUGGAAUGUCUCUGGAAAGAUACAUAGGAGAACUAGUGACAUUGGAUCCUUGUGGGUAGGGAGACACUGUGUAAGUGCAUCAAAGAGGCUGACUUUUCACUGUGCACACUCCUUCAGACCACUGGAAAUUCGGAAUUGUAUACGGUGUGCAUGUAUUACCUCCUUAAAACUAGCUAGCUACCUAUCUACCUACCUACCUACCCACCCACCUACCUUCCUACCUGGCUAAUUCAUUAGCUAAGUAAAUUAAUAAGGUGUUAAAAAAAAAGAAAAGCCAAAUAACUGGAAACACUGAGAUCUUCCUCUGUUGCUAUUUAGCUAACUGUUCAAUUUAACUCUUAAAUAAGUUAUUUCCUCCGAGUUUUUUUUUCUUUUCUUCCACAGAAACUCUGCACCUAAGCAACACUGGUUUCCUUGUUCUUCCCCAAACAUGCCAGGCACAUCCCAGCCUCAGCUUCUUUGCAAAAACAAUUUCCAAUGCCUGGAAAAAUCUUGUUUUUGUUAUCUCCAUGGCUCGCAUUUUGCUUAGUUUAAGUCUUGACUCAAAUAUCACUUUCUCAAUAAGGCCUACCUUGACUGUCCUAUUUAAAAUUGCAAACUUAACACCCCAGAAUUCCUCAUAUCCAUUUUAUCUUUCAUAGUAAUGAUCUUCUUCUUUUUUUUUUUUUUUUUGAGAUGGAGUUUUGCUCUUGUCGCCCAGUCUGGAGUGCAAUGGCAUGAUCUUGGUUCACCGCAAUCUCUGCCCCCAGGUUCAAGGGAUUCUCCUGCCUCAGCCACCUGAGUAGUUGGGAUUACAGGCAUGUGCCACCAUGCCUGGGUAAUUUUGUAUUUUUAGGUGAGAUGGGGUUUCUCCAUGUUGGUCAGGCUGGUCUCAAACUCCUGACCUCAGGUGAUCCACCCGCCUCGGCCUCCCAAAGUGCUGGGAUUACAGGCAAGCCACUGCACCCAGCCAUAAUGAUCUUCUUUUUAAAGUACUAUAUAAGCAUCUUAGUACUUAACAUCUUUAUUGUCUAUAUCAAACUCUAAAACCAAGCUCCAUGAAGGCAAGGAUUUGUCUUCAAAUCUUUUGCUCUCUGUUACUUCCCCCAGCAUCUAAGUACUGCUUAGCACUUACAGCUUUUCAAGAAAUAAUUGCUGAGUAAAUAAAAGAACUAAUGAGUUUUGCUUU
rnacentral:lncRNA from 1 species